UACAGAGGUCUCAAGCGUUGUUCGGAUUCAUUGGGCGUAAAGGGUGCGUAGGCGGUGUGGCAAGUCGGGAGUGAAAUCUCUGGGCUCAACCCUGGAAGUGCACUUGAUACUACGGAGCUUGAGUACUGAAGAGGAGAGCGGAAUUCCCGGUGUAGAGGUGAAAUUCGUAGAUAUCGGGAGGAACACCAGUGGCGAAGGCGGCGUCCUGGACCAACACUGACACUGAGGGA
rnacentral:rRNA from 1 species